GCUAAGGAUUUAGUACCUGUAGGAAUUGGUAGCUAUGGACUUAGUACCUGUUGAACAUUGGUAGCUAUGGACUUAGUACCUAUUAGAUAAAGACUGGUAGCUAUGGAUUUAGUACCCGAUGAAUAGACUAUAGCAGCUAUGGAAUUAGUGCUUUAUGAACGAACAUUGGCAGCUAUGGAUUUAGUGCCAGUCCCAUAACCCUGGAAGUAAGGGACUUCGGAAUAAACGAAUGCAGGAUAGAUGACUCUUAGGUUAAAUCCUUAAAGAGUAAAGAAGAUAAUGGGGAUGGGUAAUUGGGUUGAUUGUUUGAUUGAACAUAAUAAUUAUAUUAUUGUGGGUUGAAAACCCUAUGUACUCACCAGGUUUCCCAACCUGACCCACUCAGUUUAUGUAUAUCACAGGUGACGAAGUGAAGUGACAUUACACUGAGAGAUUUAAAAGAGAUGUAGAUCACUAGUGUAAAUCAUUGUAAUUCUGUUUAUGCUUAUGUUUCGGUAUUAACGAUGACAUCCCAAACAUUUUAAAAUGAAAUAAAUACGUUUCUUCGAAAAUGUUUUAAUAACGUAUUUACCAUGUUUUUCUGGGAACAAAUUCCGCAACCUUUUUAUAAAAUGAAGUACUCUGAUUUUUAUAAAGCAUAAACAAAAUCGGUCUUUUCUGGCCGUGAUUUUGGGGAUGUCACAGUUGGUAUCAGAGCAUUAGUUUAAGCGAACUAGGAAUAUGGAUUUAUUUCUAGACUUAAACUUAGAAUGCUAAGCGAUGAUUGUGAGGUGUGAGCACUAGCUUAUUUUAGGAAUUGUGCCUAAAAUGCUUUUAUGUGCUAAAUGCUUUGUGCAUGAUAUGUUGUUAAUUGUUCGGAUCUAUGGUCUGUUGCCGACCGGAUCUGGAAACCUUAUGUGUUUAGGAUUCUAAACGUACGACUACGGUAUUAGAACUAGCAUGUAAAUGUUUCGGAGUGAUAAGGAUGAUUUAAACGUCAAGUAAAGGUCUAAAUUCACCUUAUUCGGUGUAUAGAUCGAGAUGGUAAGGACCCGUAGCGGAAACGUAAACGCAAAUGGGAACAGGAACCAACCCCCAGUGGUUCAGCAAAUACCUGUUGUAGAAGAAGUUGCGCCUGAGCCAGUCACCAUGGCUGGAGUUCAAGCCAUGAUUCGGGCUAUGUUGGCUGAACAAAGGGAAGAAAUGAGACGGAUGUUGAAUAGGGACGAACCUACUAUGCCCAUUGAGCAACCCGAACUGAUUCCCGAGCAAUCUGAGGAAGGGAACUACAGCCGCCAAGUGAGUCAAGUUGGGACUCAAGGUGAGCAAAGGGAUGGCCCAGAAGGGAGAAACAACAAGGAUGGGCGGAUGUACAAGAACUUCUUGGGUGCGAAACCACCAAGCCUCUCAGGAAGCCCAAAGCCGGUUGAGGUUAUGGAUUGGAUCUCUGAGAUGGAGAUGGUGUUUGAGAGCUGCAGCUGUAAUGAGAAACAGAAGACUGUCUUUGCAGUAAGACAGCUGAAAACUGGAGUCUUGAGCUGGUGGAAGCUAUUGGCAGAUACGAUGCCACGAGGAGAAGCCUUAAGGAUGUCGUGGGAAGAGUUUUUGGAACAGUUGAAAAUGCAGUACUGCUCGGAGGUAGAUCUGAUAGACCUAAACAACGAGUUUCAGAACCUGAAGAAAGGGAAGAUGAGUGUUGAUGAGUAUGCCACCGCAUUUACCGAGAGGAUGAAGCUAUUUCCCUACUUGGUGCCUACUGAACUCUCCAAGAUUGAUAGGUUUGCUAACGGACUGCCCACUGACUUUGGUCCAAUGGUCAAAAUGGCAACUACCUUAAAAGCAGCUAUUAGGGCAGCUAAGAACGUAGAGGCCCAGAUAAGAGAAAAGGGUCUAGAAAAAGAUAAGGCAGGAGAGAAGCGAAAGUUUGAGGGAUCUUCGAGGUCGAACAAGGAAAGCAAAUUCUCAAAACUCGGAGGAGCAGAUGGAGGUGAAACAAGAUGGUGUGAUAAAUGCAAGAAGAAGCAUGGUGGGAAGUGCAACGAAGAAGUGACUUGUUACAAGUGUGGGAGGACGGGUCACUAUUCCAAAGACUGCACACAUAAUGACAAAGUAUGCUACGGAUGUGGAGGCAAGGGGCACAUGUCCAGAGACUGCCCAAGGAAAAAUAAAGCAGCAAGACCAGAAACGCCACCAAGGCCAAGGGCAUUUCACAUGAUCCUCGACGAAGCAGAGAACCAUGCGAGGAAUCAAGAAUGAGGACUUCUUACCCGAAGAUCGGAUUAUGCAGUAGCCAUAGUUUCGUAUGAUGUAGCCUAGUAGAGGCAUAGUCUAGGGUGAACUUGAACACCUAUGUAAUCGUUUCAAGAAUUAAUAUAAAACCUUCGUUUUGUUAUCUGAUGUGUCGAAUGAUUGUGUGAUUUGCUGCAUGGUGACUUGGGAAACUGCGAGACAAUACUUGGGACGAGUAUGAGUAGGUGUGAAUGGUAGUAGAGGCCUAUACUACCGGAAGCACAGGACUCACACUUGGAUCAGGGAAAGUCACAAGGUUACCAAGAAGCUAGUAAUUGAUUUCGUUUUAUUCAAGUGUGUUGUUACCAUCGUUUCGGUAAUGACUAAGAAGAUUGUUGAUAUUCCGACCCUAGUGGUCAUAUCGAAUCGAGUCCGACUACGAUGAGUAUGUUGUGUGGUUCAGAGAACCAAGUUUGAUGUAGCGUCCGACUUAAACCAAACGGUUGAAAUCAAAGCGAUCAAUAGAAGUAUCGCACUCGUUGUUAAAGAAGUUGGUGGCUAGAAAUGCCUAAUGUUAAAGUGUGAUUAUAUCACAUUAGAACAUGAAGGAAGGCAUAGUCUGUUUUAGAAUUUAACUCUAAGAGACCUAAGUCUAAGUGUUGCAACAUACGAUGAUAGGUCAUUAGAAUAUGACACAUCGAUCUAUAGUAGUAAUAAAAGAACUUAUCUCAAGUCCGUAUCCAGCAAGGAUCGAGAUUGUGACUUGAAGGUCAUAAUUUGGAGUCUAACCUGAGGUAGAGAGCAGGUGCACGAUCGAGUACUCUUACAGUCAAUGAGUUUAAGAGAUAGAAUCGAAGGAAUGUAGAAGUUAUAAUUAUUACCUAGGAUGAAGAGAUGACGUAUGGAGUCAUUAUACGACCCUGUUUCGUUGAUGAUUCCGGGACGUAAUCAUCCUAAGGGGGAGAUAAUUGUAACGCCCGCAAAUCUGGGCUAGUCAAAUUAGAGGCAAUAGGGGUCGAAAACGACUUUUCGACAAAAGAUUAUUUAGAAUAAAUAAUCUUAACCAAGUUGUAGAGUAUGUUACAAGGUUUUCGUACAUAUAAAGAACGCCGAAAACCGAGUUAUAACGAAGAAGUUAUGACCCGUUGAAGUUUCGCGACGGAACCGGCACGAUACCGGGAAGCGUAAAUAGUGAAUUUACGAUAGAGCGAGAUUUAGCCUUAGCGAUCUAAACGAAAGUCGUAGAAUAUGUUAAACUAAGAACAUCGAUAAAAAGAACGCCCAAAUCUGACUUCGUAUGAGGAAGUUAUGAUUUUUCUAAGAUUUAGCAUAGCAGUGCACAGCCCGAAAUCUGAAUUUUAGAUCGGUCGAUUUUUAGCCGACGGGAUCUAAAUGAAAGUUGUAGUACUCGUAAAUACCAACGCGUGGAUAUAAAGAACGUCGAUAAUAGAGCUCGUAUGCAAAAGUUAUGGACGAAGCUUAGUCCCUACUUUUCGAGCGCGGCGAAUUCGAUACAGUUUUGUAAAUACGAGAUAGAAUGAGAAUUAGCCAACGAGGUCUAAAUGAGAGUUGAAGAUCUCAUUAAUAGGAACUCAACGGUAAAAAGACAGACAAAAAUGGAGCUCGUAUGCGAAAGUUAUGGACGAAGCUUAGUCCCUACUUUUCGAGCGCGGCGAAUUCGAUACAGUUUUGUAAAUCCGAGAUAGAAUGAGAAUUAGCCAACGAGGUCUAAAUGAAAGUUGAAGAUCUCAUUAAUAGGAACUCAACAGUAAAAAGACAGACAAAAACGGAGCUCGUAUGCAAAAGUUACGGACGAAGCUUGGAGACUACUUUACUAUACACUUCCUAUAAAUACAAGGGUGAACUCCUCAUAUUUUCUUCACACCAUAAGCCUUUCUUUCUCUCUCUAACUUCUCUCUAACCUCCCUAAACCCCUCCCAAGUCUAGGGAACCUCCCUAUCACGAGAAGAAAGCCCCGGAGCGCCCGACGGCUCCGAGAAGAAAAGCUUUCGGCUCGGAAACGCUGCUCCAGCGAAGCCCGGUUUUUAAUAAAAACCCGCUGUAAGUGAGCUACGCCUAUAGUAUAUUUAAUAUAGAUUUUAUUUAAUUAUAGUAACAUUGUUAGGACCUUAAAAUAAUUAUUUAGGCUAUUAUUAUGAGUUAUAUUGAGUGUUAUUUAACGCUUAUAUAAUAGUAAUAAUAGCUAGACUAUUAAAUUAGUCUCGUCAAGCGUUAGACUAAACUCUAGUGGUAAUGAUACUAGGUUUCGUCAAGGGAUAAUUGUUUUAAGAGUAACGAAGUGCUGUCCGAGUGCCGACUCACCACCUUUCAGGUGAGUGCAUAGUCCCUUUCAUCUUACACAUAGAUAUGAAGUAUUUUAUAUAAACUACGUGCUAUGUGUGCACAUUAUCUGAAUACUUGCUGUCUAUGCUGGUUGAACGUUUUAUACAUGUUUUAAAGGACUUAAACUGUAUACGUAUUUUAUAUAUACGAAAAUGUUGGGUAUGAGAUGGGUAGAUGAAUGAUGAGAGAUAGAAGAUGACGUGAGUAUACAUUGGCAGCUAUAGACUUAGUGCCUAUGGGACAAACACCGGUAGCUAUGGACUUAGUACCUUUUAGACGUUGGUAGCUAUGGAUUUAGUACCUGUUGGGAAUUGGUAGCUAUGGACUUAGUACCUAUUAGUUAGACGCUGGUAGCUAAGGACUUAGUACCUGUUGAACAUUGGUAGCUAUGGACUUAGUACCUAUUAGAUAAAGACUGGUAGCUAUGGAUUUAGUACCCGAUGAAUAGACUAUAGCAGCUAUGGAAUUAGUGCUUUAUGAACGAACAUUGGCAGCUAUGGAUUUAGUGCCAGUCCUAUAACCUUGGAAGUAAGGGACUUCGGAAUAAACGAAUGCAGGAUAGAUGACUCUUAGGUUAAAUCCUUAAAGAGUAAAGAAGAUAAUGGGGAUGGGUAAUUGGGUUGAUUGUUUGAUUGAACAUAAUAAUUAUAUUAUUGUGGGUUG
rnacentral:lncRNA from 1 species